GAGGAGUCGGUCGGCCGACGGCGGCAGCGGCUGUGGCGCUCGGCGUCGGUCGUGCGGCAGCGUCGAGGCAGAGCUUGGGGCGGCGGGCAGUCGGGGCGGGCGCUGCGACUGCGGAGGCCGGCACGGUUUCGUGCAGCCUCCUUCUCCGUUUUUCCUCUUUUCCAUCUGAACCUUGACCACUCACGCUCUUCGUUCCUUUUCCUCAUGUUUGGUUUCCGUUAUUGCAAUCUACGCUGCAUCUGUAUUUCGUUUUCCCUGUCAUGGCCUGGCCAGUCGAUUUAGGUGCAUCUUCUUCCCUGUACAAGAAGAGUUCGUGAGCUUGCUGCCUGCCUAUGUCUAUCAACGUUUGCUAGGGCCCUGUUUCUUUUGGUUGCAGCCGUUUUUCUUUGGUUUUCUGCAUUGGCCAGCUCCUCGUGUAGCAGCUUGGUGUGCUGGUGUUUUUGCUCCCGUUGUGUGUGUUGUCUAUUCAGAGCUUGGUUUGCUCCCUACAAGGUCUGCACGGUUUGUUCCUUCUACUUCUACCAAAAACAGAAACAGAUUCCUGCCCACAUUUACAUCCAUUUAGUAGCAGCACAAUCAAAAAACUACACCCGGAUCGAAUGUUCCAACUAUAUAUAACUAUGUAUGAUCAGCAUGUUUAGCAGAGCUCAUGUUGUUAGUUACGAUCUCCAAGGGACCGAUCCACACUGUGCCACCUCAUUCCCUGAUCCCCACCGCCGAUCAUCGCCGACAGCACGAGGGAAGUCCGCUAGCCGCCGCCGACGCGCGCGGACCACCAACCUCCGUCGCCUGUCAUUGACGGGGCCGAGCGGGAGAGAGAAGGGGAGACGCAAGCGUGUUGGUCCGGGCGCCCUGCGGAGCCUUCGCCCAGGUCCACCCGCGAGCAGAAGAAGUUCAAGGAAAACAAACUCCAGCUCUUUGUAUUAACCUAUGUAAGAAUUUCUCUUUUCUCUCCAUGGACAUGUUUUAUACGGUCUAUCAUGCCUCUUCUAGCAGCAAAACCAAAGGAAAGACGGGGAUAUUUUCUUGCUACUAAUUCUGCUUUAACUUGAAGGCCAGCUAAUAACCAAUUCAGGCGAACCACUAAUCUAGAAAUUUUAUUUUUUCGGAGAAGCUAGAAGGACAGCAAAGGAGCUGUUGACGGUGGGGGAGAUGUUUAGGUGCCUGGCCAUCAACAGGUAGAUUUUUUAGCCCCUUUGCAGAUCAGCGUAAGGCAUAUCUUGUAUUUUCUUCCAGGGUCAUAUUGCCAACCAUCUUAGGUGUGAGAAGUGACCAAAUUGAUGUCUGGUGUCCUACGAAAAGUGAGCUACGAAUUAAUCUGGACCACCGAUUAUAUCUAAAACAAUAAUCUAUGCAGGCUUAUAGUUCGUAGUUCCUAAAUGUAUAAUUUUGGCAUUUCAUGAGAAGUAUGGCAGAGAGUUGGCGAAUACAAUCAUUCAAUGAUAGAUUUGGAUAUGCUGCUGACUUGCAGUGCAAUUUUAAUUUGUGUUGUGUAUGGUCUGGCACUCUGGCAUUAUUUGAGUUGACAUGAAUAAUAGAUGUGAGGUAACUAUGAAACCAUCUAAUGUGUCAGGCGAUUGCAUGGUUGCAAAAGCCUAUAAAAGCCUAUACUUUUUAUGUGGUUUGUUUUUAACAACCAAAUCUCUUAAAGAAUGUUAAGAAAUAAACACCAUUUUCCUCUCUUCCGCUGAGCAGCAUACCAUAGGGUAGAUUCUAGGACUAAAAAGUUGGCAUUUUAAUAUUAACGAUGAAUAUGCAACUAUUUUUCUGAAAUAAAUUUAGAAAAAUAAGGUUUUAUUACUUUUGUGACAAUUCAAAUUUUAUGGUUUAACCAGUUGUAAUAGGUUCCCUAAUCUACCGAACAUCAAUGAGCUACCAUCUUAAAAUGAAUAUAUAUGGCUAUUGCUCUGUGAAUAAUAUGAGAAACCAAAAGAAAAGGCAAUGAAUUUGCACGGCAUCGGCUAGCCUCUUCAACCCCAAGCCACUGCCACGGGGAUCUCCUCCUACCCACCAGCCUCCGCCACGCCGCCAACCGAUUCUUCCCUCCACGCUCGCGCACCACAACCACUCUGUGACAUGGAAAUGGUGGAGUGCUCCUUGUCCUCCGCCCGGCCCCGCCGCCGCCGAAGACGACGAUGGCAGCGUCAGAAGGCGACGGCUGUCGCGCUGCGCUGGGGAAAGCGCCUGCGGGGCUCGCCGCGGCGGCCAUGGUGUCACUGACCGAGUUCGCCGUGGAGCCCCUCCCGCCACCGUCUCCAUGGCACACUCACCGCUUGAGUGCUCUCACUGAUUAGUCACCAAGAGUGCUCCACAGCUCAGCCUGAACGGCACCCUCGGGUUUUGUUUGCAUCAAUCAUGUUUGAGGCAAUUGAGCACUCACGUUACUUUUAAUGCAUAAAAUGUAUUUGGCAAUAUUUUUUAGUGUAAUUUGGAUUGUGCUAACAAGAACUAUCAGCACACAAAAUGGUCUUGUAUGCGAUGAUGAAUUGAUGAUACCAUUAAAGGUUGUGUGUUUGUUAAUGUAAAG